rnacentral:ncRNA from 1 species
UACCUGGUUGAUCCUGCCAGUAGUCAUAUGCUUGUCUCAAAGAUUAAGCCAUGCAAGUCUAAGUACGAGCUCUCGUACAGUGAAACUGCGAAUGGCUCAUUAAAUCAGUUAUGGUUCAUUUGAUCGUACAGUUUACUUGGAUAACUGUGGUAAUUCUAGAGCUAAUACAUGCGAGAAGCGCCGACCUCGCGGGAGGCGUGCAUUUAUCAGACCAAAAACCGGCCGCGUCUUCGGGCGCGUUCGCCUUGGUGACUCUGGAUAACUUUGCGGAUCGCACGGUCUAGCACCGGCGACGGAUCAUUCAAGUGUCUGCCCUAUCAACUUUCGUCGGUACGGUAUUUGCCUACCGAGGUUCUUACGGGUGACGGGGAAUCAGGGUUCGAUUCCGGAGAGGGAGCCUGAGAAACGGCUACCACAUCCAAGGAAGGCAGCAGGCGCGCAAAUUACCCAUUCCCGACGCGGGGAGGUAGUGACGAAAAAUAACAAUGCAGGACUCGUUCGAGGCCCUGUAAUUGGAAUGAGUACACUUUAAAAGCUUUAACGAGUAUCCAUUGGAGGGCAAGUCUGGUGCCAGCAGCCGCGGUAAUUCCAGCUCCAAAAGUAUAUAUUUGAGUUGUUGCGGUUAAAAAGCUCGUAGUUGGAUUUUGGGCGCAGGCG